GACUCGGUGGCGGAUGGUCCGCAUCUGCUUCAUGUGAGCAUACCGGUGUGGCUUUGCACGCAAGAUACGCUCGUUCGACUCGGGCCCGAGUCA